rnacentral:hammerhead_ribozyme from 1 species
AUCUAGCUGGUGAAUCCCAAAUGGGACGAAACGCGCGUCCCGGAU